GAUUGGCCGGUGCCCUGGAGGAACCUGUCACUUGGGGGCGUGGGGCGGGGCCAUUGGGCCCUCUCCGCGUUCUCAUUGGCGGAGGCGAGGUUGCGGCUUUCCUCCCGCAGAGUUCGGGCUGCUUGCUCCCGCCGGGCGGUGCGUGGCCCGGAAGUGACGCACGGCCCUGGCCGGCGGCCGCCCUGCCCCCGCUUCCUUUCACGCUGUCGGUGGCCGUAGGGGUGGUCGUGGCCACCGCACCCGGCGCGGGAGGUGGCGGCGGCGGCCCGUAAUGCCCGGGAAACUCCUCUGGGGGGACAUCAUGGAGCUCGAGGCACCCUUGGAAGAGCCCGAGAGCCAGAAGAAGGAGAGGCAAAAGAGCUUUAUGGAUUUCGGAAUUUCGGAUAAGGGAUUAUGGACCUGUACUUCCCUGAUAGGGUUGUUAUGAAGAUUUAAACAAGAUAAGCCGAAAACAUUACACAAUGAUGGAGUGAUAGAAGGAAGUCAAGGCACCAUUAUGAAUCAGAUGAGAAAACAGAAACAAGAGAAAAUGGCGUUACAGAUGACCUGGAUGCUCCCAAGCCCAAAAAAGCUAAAAUAAAAGAGAAGCUAAAUGGAGACACCGAAGAAGGACUUAGUAGACUUUCAGAUGAGUUCUCCCCGUCUCACAAGUCGAGAAGAAAAGACCUCCCAAACGGAGAUGUUGAUGCCUACGAGAAAAGGUCAAAGCGAGUGUCAUCCUUAGAGAAUUCUACUUAUAAGUCAAGUGAUAGAGAGGAGGAGAGUCUAACACGUGAACAAAAGGAAGGAGCCUUCUCCAAUUUCUCCAUUUCUGAGGAGACCAUAAAGCUUCUGAAAGGUCGAGGGGUAACAUAUCUCUUUCCUAUUCAAGUUAAAACCUUUGGUCCUGUAUAUGAAGGAAAAGAUUUAAUUGCUCAAGCCCGGACAGGAACAGGAAAGACAUUCUCUUUUGCCAUACCCUUGAUUGAAAGGCUCCAAAGAAAUCAAGAGACAAUUAAAAAAAGCCGCUCACCAAAGGUACUUGUUUUGGCUCCAACAAGGGAACUGGCAAAUCAAGUAGCCAAAGAUUUCAAAGAUAUAACCAGAAAACUCAGUGUCGCGUGUUUUUAUGGUGGAACAUCCUAUCAAAGCCAAAUUAAUCACAUUCGGAAUGGGAUUGACAUCCUUGUUGGGACUCCAGGGCGUAUCAAAGACCAUCUGCAAAGCGGCCGUUUGGACCUUUCAAAGCUGCGCCAUGUUGUGCUUGAUGAAGUCGAUCAGAUGUUAGAUUUAGGUUUUGCUGACCAAGUUGAAGAUAUCAUUCAUGAAUCCUACAAAGCUGAUUCAGAAGACAAUCCUCAGACCUUACUUUUUUCUGCAACUUGCCCACAGUGGGUGUACAAAGUUGCAAAAAAAUACAUGAGAUCCAGAUAUGAGCAGGUUGACCUUGUGGGGAAAAUGACUCAGAAAGCUGCGACCACUGUGGAACAUUUGGCUAUCCAGUGCCAUUGGUCUCAGAGACCAGCAGUUAUUGGAGAUGUCCUUCAGGUCUACAGUGGAUCUGAAGGGAGGGCUAUUAUCUUCUGUGAGACCAAGAAGAAUGUAACUGAAAUGGCCAUGAAUCCACACAUAAAACAGAACGCCCAGUGUUUGCAUGGGGAUAUUGCACAGUCACAAAGAGAAAUUACCCUGAAAGGCUUCAGAGAAGGCAGUUUUAAAGUUUUGGUGGCAACCAAUGUGGCUGCCCGCGGCUUGGACAUUCCUGAGGUUGACUUGGUGAUUCAGAGUUCUCCUCCACAGG